rnacentral:rRNA from 1 species
GACGAACGCUGGCGGCGUGCUUAACACAUGCAAGUCGAACGAAGUGGCGAACGGGUGAGUAACGCGUAAUCAACCUGCCCUUCAGAGGGGGACAACAGUUGGAAACGACUGCUAAUACCGCAUACUGAAGGAGGGGAUUGCGGUUGAUUAGCUAGUUGGGGGGGUAACGGCCCACCAAGGCGAUGAUCAGUAGCCGGUCUGAGAGGGUGAACCACCACCAUGGGAACGGGACACGGGCCAGGCUCCGUCGGGAGGCAGCAGUGGGGAAACUUCCGCAAUGGACGGAAAGCUUACGGAGCAACGCCGGGUGAGUGAUGACGGCCUUCGGGUUGUAAAACUCUGUUAAUCGGGACGCGGUACCGGAAUAGAAAGCCACGGCUAACUACGUGCCAGCAGCCGCGGUAAUUC